UUCUGAAAUCUGUUUUGCUCGGCUCCUGUAACUCUACCCAGAACAAGGGUAGAGGCUGGGACCUGAGCCCUGGGGAGGUGGUAGCUCAUUACUUUUCUGUGCUGGGAGCAGGCUGACACACUCCCUGGUCAAGCAUAGCCAGUGGGAAUCUGGGGAGAGAGCAAGCUAAAUUACAAGCAGAGUCUGGCCAGAUGAUGACCAGCCAUGGGUUGCUCUGCUUCCAGAGGCCUCCUUCUGAUCCUGAAAUGCUCACUGGGCUCCUGACUGGUGCUCCUACGCAGGUAGGCACUGACAGAACUGCAGAGCUGUGUCUCUAGCCAGCAGCACACACACACCCCUCUCCUAAAUCUACCUGGUUGGUUCUAGACUCUAAACUUUGUAUUUUUUUCCAUGACAUUGAUAAAGCAGUAAGAAAAUAUUAAAAUUUCCUCCUAGCA
rnacentral:lncRNA from 1 species